AAACUCAAGUCAGGAAAUUACAGUAGCUCUGACAGACACCUCACUCAGUGGCCCAUUCAUGGACUUUCAAAAGAUCCAUUGUGACUUACUUCCACUAUGGCUGCUUUUACUGAAGUGGCUAAGCAGACCCCUCCCACACUGAGAGUUGUUUUUUAUUUUUUUACUGACAAGCAUUAAGAAGGGUGGAGGGGGGCCUGCAGCGGUGUAGACACUACCUCACUCCCAUCAUGCAAAGUAAAUAUGACCUAAACAGCUGCUAUAAAAGCACUGACCAAGCAAAUCCAAGUAGAGACCCGGGUAACAAAAGAAACCAGGAGAAAGUCAGAACAGUCAGUGAGUGAGGGCAGCUCCAGGUCAAAGUGUCGUAUCAGGUGAAGCUGCAUUAGUCUUUGGAAAAAGCUGGACUCUCUGGGGACUGCGGUGGAGACAUGCACAUUAAAAAGGUGGAGGACAUCUUGGACACAUGGGACCAUCCUGCAGCGGACAACUCACCUCUCUACAAGACAGCACUGAAUAUUACACCUCAGUCAGAGACUAUAUAUUCUGUAAAUAAUUCACUGAUUACUUGUUUUAAUUCUAUUUCUCUUCUGUUUUUUGGUCAAAGACAAGACUUUCCUCCCUAGAGAUUAAUACUUAAUCUGUAUCUUGUAUUGUAAUAUAUAAACAGUAAUUCAUGUCUUAAAUCUAAAGUUUAUCAGUAACACUACAUGCGUUCUUAGUUCCUAAAACUUGAGUAUUAGGUGGAAAGAAAAAUUUUUUAAAAUGUCAUGCAUAUGGAGGAGUCUAGAGCAGGAAGUACACUUCUUGCAGCAGCUACAAUUUAGCACAACUAAAGCAUCUCAUAUGGGACUGAAGUGAUCUGAACAAUGGUGUUCACUAAUGUGCCCUAUUGUUCUUUUCUCCUUAUACACCUACAGCUAAAAUGAGACAUUUUGGAGAGCAGAUGUUCAUUAUUGUUAAAGGAUCAUUUGAAAAGUGAAAAAUCCUACUAAAAGUGAAACGACAACACUGACAUCAUAAAUUAAUAAACCCAACACAAAUAUAGCCUGAAUAGAUGUGGGGUUUAUUUGUGCAGGAGACAAUGGAAAACCUGGUUAUGUUUCCUGUUUGAGAGGUGCCAGUCUAUUGCUGACCCUGCACUCUGAGCUCCUUGUGAAAGGAGAUAAGUAGUAAGAAACUUUUCACUCCAGGGAUCACUUAAGUGUCACGUAAUUGUUAUACAACCACUAAAACACCAGGACCUGGGAAACACCUGCAUCGAAGUUUGAUGAUGAUUAAAAGAAAAUCUCCCAACACCUCAGCAAGAGAAAAGAGGAUCAUAAAGACCCUGUUUAAGUGAACGUCUGCUCCGUUUAUCUUCUACUGGGUGAGACCAACUGGUGUUGCAGACUCUGUCACAAGGUCCAGACCACAUCCAAGGCGGACAGCCCUAAUUCAUCUGGCCAGUGUUGCAUUGAUCUGACCAGACGAGCCAGCCAAGAAAAAUACCAGCAGACAAUCCUUUUCACGCUUGACUUAAGCUCAAACAUUCUCACAAUCCUCAGUGCUCCUAUUAGAAAGAGCCAAGCAUGAGUCUGCCCUCGUUAAUGCAGUUAUUGUUCUGUGAUUAAGUCGAUUAAGAAAGAGCCCUCCAGUUUGAGUAAUAUUUACUUAUGGCUCAAUUACACAAUCAUGAAGUGAAUGAGCACUUUCCUAUGGAUGCGUUCACUUUUCUUCACAUGGCGGAGUGGAAAGCGGUGACUUUUCACUUUCAACACUGACACAAAGCUGAAUGUGAGGCCUAUUACUGUAGGUAAAGUGGGACAUUACGAGCACCACGCAUCUCUCUACCUCCUAAUUUUCUGCUCUUGCCAUAAUUACUUCUCUUCCUUUCAAGAUUUAGGUCGGAUAAGGAAUGCAGUCUGAUCUCGCAGGAGCUGAGCUGUCUCCAGCCAAAUAACUCGUGACUCUAUUGUUAACUGCUCGCCCCUUCUGGCACAUGAAGCUUUUCCAAUGCCGGCGGAGGGCAGCAGAAAUCAGAUUAGUGGUGUUCAUACUGUUUCAGAUAACGAACUAAUAUUGUUGAUUCAGGCAAAAGGGAUGCAACUACCUGGAUACAGAGUAGGGGUUGCUGGGUGGAUUCUGCUGCAGAAUUUCACUCCUGCCUCCCUGUCUACUGUCCACCCACCAUUAAGGCACUAAAAUAGCCUGUAACAAAACAAUAAAAGCAUCAUUAGUAACUGAGAAGCAACUGACACAAACUUAAAGGACUCUAAAAACAAGACUCUUAGACAAGUUAUGGAUUUUAUUUUUUUCCCACAAAACCAAGUUUGUUUACAAAAAAGGAAUUUCAAAAUAAAAUUGUACCUAUCUAUUGCAUGUCAUGCUGGCAGUUUGAACUACAUGCAAAAACAACAAUAAGAAGAACACUGAUAAUAAUCAUUACUGUACAAAAAUGAUGGGGGGGGUCCAUAUCAGGGCAAACGUCAUCUCAAAACCUAAAGAAAAAAUUGGGGGGGGGGGAUAGUUCUAUAAAAAGGAUGUUUUUUUUUUUUUUUUUUGCUCUAGACUGAGUCAUGUGUUUAUACAUGAGCCUUAAACCAGGGCACAAGACUCUUAAACCACCCAGACAGAGACGGCGGUGUGAAACUGCAUAGAGGCAGAGAAAGGAGUCCCUGCUCUAAAAGACAGAGGGAUGAGAGAAUGAGUAACAGGAUGAGAGAUGACUGCAGUGUGAGGAAACAAAAGCACAUACACACACACACCAUCGAAGCCCUUAAAACAAACAAACUGUGCUUCAACGACAAUGUGGGAAACAACAUAAAAGAAUGACUACAUGAAAUUAUCGCUGAACCUUAUCACCUCUUCUGGCAAUCCCUUAGAUUUACUUGCUGCAACAGUGAAAAUCUGAGGUAUAUGGCUUCAUUUUUUUUACAUGACAAAAUAU